UUUUAGCUCUUACUGCGUCUAAGGGUUGGCCUGUCCAUCAAUUAGAUGUCAAGAAAGCUUUCUUACAUGGCACUCUUGAUGAACUGAGAUACAUGAAACAGCCUACUGGCUUUGUUCAUCCACAAUUUCUGUAAUAACCCAUAUAUUUUUUAAGGCUUAGUUGGUAAAUUAAAUAAAAGGAGAUAAAAUAAAAAAAAAUAGAAAAGAAGGAAUGUAGCCAAGCCCAAAAAGGAAAAGGAAAAGAAAAAAAAAAGACUUUAAAAAGUCUGAUGGCUAACGUGAAACACUACAAUCUGAAGGAACUAAAAAAAAAAAAAAAAGGACGAGAAAACAGAGGGAGAGAAAACCAGCAGGAAAAAAAAAAGGAAAGAGAGGGAGAAAAAGAGAAGAAAGGAGAGGAGAAAAAUAAGAACUUUCACCCCAAAUCAUCAAGUUUGAGGCAAUCCGGAGCCUCGAGAACGCAGUUUUGAUUUAUUGGGAAGUGUGCUUGAAUUGUGAAUUUGAGAUACUGUCGUUGAGAACGAGGCUGGUAAUUGAAGACUUCGUGAGUGAAUUCUGUUGCUGAGAUGGCUAAGAAACGCGCAUCUUCAUCUGCUAAACGUGGUGCUGGACAGAGUGCUACCCGCGGUGGUAGACAAGCUAGUGCUCAUCAGACUAGAGCUCAGACUAGGACUCAGGCCACUCCUCAGCCUGAAGUUGUGAAUGGGGGUCAGCCCCGAGUUGCGUCAGAGCAAGUGCAGGAACAAGUGGUUCAGAACAAGUCAGGUUAUUAUCCGAGGUGUUCUAACUGUGGUAGAAAUCACAGUGGUCGUUGCUUUGGGGCAGAUGGGGCUUGUUUUACUUGCGGUGAAAAGGGGCAUAUUGCUAAAUACUGUCCUAAAGCAAAUUCGGGUGCUAGUCGAGCUACUACACAGCCGCAGGGAACUACUACAGCUACACAGGGUCAGAUUCAGCCAGCUAGGACCGCUCCACAGGGUGCUCAUGGACAGGGUCGACAGGGUGCACAGGUUGCUCAGGGAGGGAGUGGACCGCCGAGAUUCUUUGCUAUGACAAGAUAGGAUGUCGAGGCAUCUAAUGCAGUAGUCACAGAUACUGUCGUUGAGAACGAGGCUGGUAAUUGAAGACUUCAUGAGUGGAUUCUGUUGCUGAGGUGAGCCACCGCAUUGUUCAUGAAGGCAGUCAUUUCAGCUUUAUCUAGUUUAUUUCUAGUUAUUUCUUUUAUUUUGGGUUUACAUGCCCGGCACUCAAACUCAUGUAACUCUGUUAGAUGUUCCAUGGUCUUAGCGUGGGAUAUGGGCUAGAGAUUCUUUUUAUCUUAGCGUUGGUUGGUUUUCAUAAAUCGAUUAUGGAUUUGGUUGGCGACUAUUUUGCAUUUUUAUCAUUAAUAACGUUGUGGGACCUGCACUUAUUUUCUUUUAGUGUUUUUGUAAAUGAUUGAGAGUAUGAUAUAUGGUUCGCCUGGCGGGUGGUGUUUGCUGGGUGCCAAUCAUGUCUAGCGGGUAUUUUGGGACGUGACAAAGUUGGUAUCAGAGCCUAGGCUUUAAGUCCCGGGUCAUGGAGUAGUGUUUAGUAGAAUCUUGUUCAUGGGUAUGUAGGCGCCCAUACUUAUGACCUUAAGGCUACUGGACAUCUAGCAUGUCUGAUUGCUCGCUUUUUAUUUACACCCAUCAUUCUAAGAUUGCAAUUCUUCUUCUCUAUGUAGAUAUUCUUCUCACUGCAUCAUCUACUAAAUUGCUUAACUCUUUGAUUAACACUCUUAAAUCUGAAUUUUCAAUGGACGAUUUGGGUUUAAUAAAUUACUUUCUUGGAGUUUCUGUCACUUUUAAAAAUGGA